rnacentral:rRNA from 1 species
AGAGUUUGAUCCUGGCUCAGGAUGAACGCUGGCGGCGUGCCUAAUACAUGCAAGUCGAACGCUUCACAUCGGUGAAGAGUGGCGAACGGGUGAGUAAUACAUAAGUAACCUGGCAUCUACAGGGGGAUAACUGAUGGAAACGUCAGCUAAGACCGCAUAGGUGUAGAGAUCGCAUGAACUCUAUAUGAAAAGUGCUACGGGACUGGUAGAUGAUGGACUUAUGGCGCAUUAGCUUGUUGGUAGGGUAACGGCCUACCAAGGCGACGAUGCGUAGCCGACCUGAGAGGGUGACCGGCCACACUGGGACUGAGACACGGCCCAGACUCCUACGGGAGGCAGCAGUAGGGAAUUUUCGGCAAUGGGGGAAACCCUGACCGAGCAACGCCGCGUGAAGGAAGAAGUAAUUCGUUAUGUAAACUUCUGUCAUAGAGGAAGAACGUUGGAUAUAGGGAAUGAUAUCCAAGUGACGGUACUCUAUAAGAAAGCCACGGCUAACUACGUGCCAGCAGCCGCGGUAAUACGUAGGUGGCGAGCGUUAUCCGGAAUUAUUGGGCGUAAAGAGGGAGCAGGCGGCACUAAGGGUCUGUGGUGAAAGAUCGAAGCUUAACUUCGGUAAGCCAUGGAAACCGUAGAGCUAGAGUGUGUGAGAGGAUCGUGGAAUUCCAUGUGUAGCGGUGAAAUGCGUAGAUAUAUGGAGGAACACCAGUGGCGAAGGCGACGAUCUGGCGCAUAACUGACGCUCAGUCCCGAAAGCGUGGGGAGCAAAUAGGAUUAGAUACCCUAGUAGUCCACGCCGUAAACGAUGAGUACUAAGUGUUGGGGGUCAAACCUCAGUGCUGCAGUUAACGCAAUAAGUACUCCGCCUGAGUAGUACGUUCGCAAGAAUGAAACUCAAAGGAAUUGACGGGGGCCCGCACAAGCGGUGGAGCAUGUGGUUUAAUUCGAAGCAACGCGAAGAACCUUACCAGGUCUUGACAUCGAUCUAAAGGCUCCAGGGAUGGAGAGAUAGCUAUAGAGAAGACAGGUGGUGCAUGGUUGUCGUCAGCUCGUGUCGUGAGAUGUUGGGUUAAGCCCCGCAACGAGCGCAACCCCUGUUGCCAGUUGCCAGCAUUAAGUUGGGGACUCUGGCGAGACUGCCGGUGACAAGCCGGAGGAAGGCGGGGAUGACGUCAAAUCAUCAUGCCCCUUAUGACCUGGGCUACACACUGCUACAAUGGACAGAGCAGAGGGAAGCGAAGCCGCGAGGUGGAGCGAAACCCAUAAAACUGUUCUCAGUUCGGACUGCAGUCUGCAACUCGACUGCACGAAGAUGGAAUCGCUAGUAAUCGCGAAUCAGCAUGUCGCGGUGAAUACGUUCUCGGGCCUUGUACACACCGCCCGUCACACCAUGAGAGUCGGUAACACCCGAAGCCGGUGGCCUAACCGCAAGGAAGGAGCUGUCUAAGGUGGGACUGAUGAUUGGGGUGAAGUCGUAACAAGGUA